rnacentral:rRNA from 1 species
UACGUAGGGUGCGAGCGUUGUCCGGAAUUAUUGGGCGUAAAGGGCUCGUAGGCGGUUUGUCGCGUCGGGAGUGAAAUCCUACGGCUUAACUGUGGGCGUGCGGGCGAUACGGGCAGACUGGAGUACUGCAGGGGAGACUGGAAUUCCUGGUGUAGCGGUGGAAUGCGCAGAUAUCAGGAGGAACACCGAUGGCGAAGGCAGGUCUCUGGGCAUUAACUGACGCUGAGGAGCGAAAGCAUGGGGAGCGAACAGG